UCCAUCCCUUUUUGCCAGUUCUUUCUUUUUUAUUCUGCAGCUUUCUAUCAAACACAAUUCUCUUUCCCUCGUCGCCCACCUCUAGCCACUGGCGGAUGGCAGAGAGGGACAUCUCAAGGGACAUGGCCGCAGACCAGUCGGCCUGCCUAGCAACCAUACAUCUAAGGUGUUGGGAGCCUCGAGCCUCGGUACUGGUUCCUGAAGUGUGGGCUGCCGCGUUCCCUUCACCCUCCGCGAGGAGCUUGGCCUCGGCAGGUACUUGAGCGUCCGCCAGAGCAAGAUGAUGAAGAGGCCCCCGAAGAAAGUCACCAUGGAGGAGGCCAGGAAAGCCCAC